AUUCAACUCACUGUUUCCGAGCCAGUUCGUAUUCGGCUCGAAAUAAGUUCGAAAUCGAAUCGCUCGUUUAGUAAACGAGCCGAACACGAGUUGAAUUUUUCAGCUCGAGUACAUAUUUUAUAUUUAUAUAAUUUAUUUAAUAUAUAUAUAUAUAAAUAAAUAAAUAAUUAUAUAUAUAAUAUAUAUUUAUUAUUUAAUUUUUAGCAAAAAAAUAAUUCGAGCUCAAUUGUAAAAAGACUCAUUUAUAUGUAAAGUUUCAACCAUGGAUUAAAGCCUAAU
rnacentral:lncRNA from 1 species